GAUGAACGCUAGCUACAGGCUUAACACAUGCAAGUCGAGGGACCGGCGCACGGGUGAGUAACACGUAUCCAACCUGCCCUUUACUCGGGGAUAGCCUUUCGAAAGAAAGAUUAAUACCCGAUGUAAAGGAUGGGGCUGCGUUGCAUUAGUUUGUUGGUGAGGUAACGGCUCACCAAGCCUUCGAUGGAUAGGGGUUCUGAGAGAAAGGUCCCCGACAAUGGAACUGAGACACGGUCCAAACGCCUACGGGAGGCAGUAGUGAGGAAUAUUGGUGAAGGGGCGUUAGCCUGAAACAGCCAAGUAGCGUGAAGGAUGAAGGAUUAUGGGUCGUUAACUUCUAGGAUAUAAGAAUAUGUAUUAUAUGAAUAAGGAUCGGCUAACUCGGUACAAGCAGCAAAGGAAAUA
rnacentral:rRNA from 1 species